rnacentral:tRNA from 1 species
GAAGGUGCAGCUCAGUGGUAGAGUGUUUGCUUAGAAUGCAGGAGGUCCUGGGUUCAAUCCACAGUAUCUCCA